UUACAUGUUUCGGGUAGGAGC
rnacentral:miRNA from 1 species